UUCAGUUUUUCGGUUGACGCACCCUGGAAUUGGGCUCCCUCCUCUUUGGUUCCAGGUGCAUCACCCAAGAACGGCA
rfam:Myotis davidii contig30773, whole genome shotgun sequence.